UGUGUGUGUUAGAGUGUGUGUGUGUUAGUGUGUGUGUGUUAACACUAACACACUCUAUCAGUAACACACACUCUAACACACACACUCUAACACACACACU